CAAAGAGAAGAAGAAGGACACGCAUGUUAAGCUUUUGAAGUCGCUUUCCACUCAGAGAUAUUUGUUCUUAGCUUUGAUGUAAACUCUCUGGACUUUCCAUAUUUUAAGAUGCCGAGGUAUGAGCUGUGUGUGAUCCUGAAGGCGAUGCAGAAGCCGGAGACUGCGGCUGUCCUGCGGCGCGCGGUGGAGACUCUGUUCGAGCGCGGCGCGGUGGUUCGGAGUCUGGAGAACCUCGGCGAGCGAAGACUGCCAUACAAGAUCUCCAAACACGACUGUCGCCACACGCACGGCGGAUACUUCUCCGUCGACUUCCACGCCUCGCCCAAAAUCGUCAGCGGGCUUUUAGAGCAACUUGAACGGGACAUUGACAUUUUGCGUCCCACAGUUUUAAGAAAAGACUUUGAGCUUUCCAAGGCGCAGUGCUGUGGUCCUCCACCUGCCAAUGUAAAGAGUGCCUCGAAUUAAACGACUGUGAAGAUCGCCACUUCUGCAAUCGGACAAAAUAAUAUCUCGAUUUUUGGAGAAGGGCAUUUACUUGAGCUAUUUAUGUGCGUCACCCCGGCCUGGUGCAUCAAUCGUCCCCACUCUCAUGUUUAGACUACCUGAUUGUGGGGGAUGGGCGAGUUCCGUUAUCUGAAGUGACACUGUCACUGAACAAGAUAAAUUUGCAUCAGUAGCCUUCUUCAAACAUGUCAAAAAGAACAAAGCCCUCUGGUGCCCAGGGAAGAAAAAGAAGAGAAGAGGAACAAAAUGGGAUAAGAACAGAGAUGCACUUUUGAAAUAUUUGAAUCCCACCCCUGCAAAUCCUCGGCCACCUUCAGACACCUUCUCUACCUCAGCACAGCCCAGUGAUGCAGCAUCAAGUGCACCUGUCCCCUCUACCUUUGCACAGGCCAGCAAUACAGCAUCAAGUGCACCUGUCCCCUCUACCUUUGCACAGCUCAGCGAUGCAGCAUCAGGUGCACCUGUCCCCUCUACCUUAGCACAGACCGGCGAUGCAGCAUCAAGUGCACCUGUCCCCUCUACCUCAGCACAGCAUCAUGCAUCUACAAAAAGGCUGCACCAAUAGACCCUGCUGACUGGCCAUCUGUUUUAAAUGAUAAGGUAAGAACAGAAUUUGUUCUCAGAGGACCGUAUCAAAUAAAAAACCAUUUCACGUUUCCAAAACAAAAAGACAGGAUGACUAUUUUAACAGAGUCUUAGUCAAUGGAGAAAAAAUCAAAAGAAGCUGACUAAUGUACUCAAAAAAGAAUGAUAGUUUGUACUGCUUCUGCUGCUAAAUAUUUUCUCAGGAGAGAUAUCAAAUUGAAUAGAGAAGGGCUAAGGGAUUGGAAAAAUGCAAGGCCCAUGAGGAUAGCCAGGAGCACAAUACACACAUGGCAACAUGGAAGUCAUUGGAGGUCCGUCUUGCAGAGGGGCUAACAAUAGAUAAGCAUGAGAUGGUACUCGUUGAGGCUGAGAGAAACAGGUGCCGUGAAGUUCUUACCAGAUUGGUGGCAAUAAUUCAGUCCUUAGCUGAAAGAAACAUGGCUUUAAGGGGAUCCACAGACACAUUAAACAAACCAGACAAUGGCAAUUUUCUCAAAGAGGUGGAGCUUAUGGCCAAAUUUGAUCCAGUGAUGAAGCAGCAUGUUGGUAGAGUGGAAAGUGGAUCUGGCAGUCACACACAUUACCUGGGCAAAAGAAUACAAAAUGAACUGAUAGACACCAUCACUGCAACAAUACUGGAUAAAAUAGUGGAAGAGAUCACAAAUUAAAGAACAUUUCAUGGGCUUUCUUGUGGUAGAGAUGUCAACAGGGGAAAGUUAGUCAUCUCUCAUCCUCAAAAGGCUGGAGGAGCUGAACAUCCCCUUUGAGGACUGCAGAGGACAGUCAUAUGACAACGGCGCCAACAUGAAGGGAAAGAAUAAAGAUGUUCAGGCUAGGCUGCUUCAACUGAAUUCAAGAGCAUUUUUUGUCCCAUGUGGUGCCCACACUUUAAAUCUGGUGGUAGCUGAUGCUGCUAAGAGCUCACCAGAUGCCAUUCGCUACUUUGGAUAUUUCGCGAAACUAUUCAAACUCUUCUCAGCUUCCACCCAUAGAUGGGAUAUCGUCCUGAAACAUGUCAAAACCAUCCUGAAAUCUUGGUCAGAGACCUGGUGGGAAAGCAGGAUAAACAGCAUUCAGGCAGUAAGGUACCAGGCUGGGCAAGUCAGAGAGGCUCUUUUGGAGGUGAGGGAAACUACUGCAGACCCUGUGGUGAAAGUUGAAGCCCAGUCUUUGGCUGAGGAGAUUGGAUCCUACCGCUUUUCUGUUUGCACAGUCAUAUGGUAUGACAUCCUCAACAAGAUCCAGCAUGUGAGUAAACUGAUGUAGUCACCCUCCAUGCAGCUAGAUGUGGCUGUCAACUUGCUGAAGAAAACUAGAGAUUCCCUCACCUGCUACAGAAACACUGGAUUUUCUGAUGCACAGAAAACUGCAAAGGAAAUGUGCGAGGAGAUGAACGUGGAGACUGUACUCAAACAAAAGCAGUUGAGAACCACAAAAAGGCACUUUGGUUAUGAGGCACCAGAUGAGCCUAUUGGUGAUGCACUUCGAAGAAUGGAAACCACAUUAUUUUAUGUGGUAGUGGAUACAGCCCUCUCUUCACUUGAUGAGACUGUAAUGCUACAUUGUGCAUAUUUUGCACUGAGGUUUCUGUACUAUACUUAGUUUUUCAUGCAAUACUCUUAUUUAUGUUGUAUUUAUAAUUUGUUUUAUGUCACUUGUUUCUUUAAUACUGUUUUUAAUUUUGUGGGGGGUUUUGUUUCUAAAAUAAAGAAAAUCUCUAAGACAUAAAAAAAUUCAGUUUCUGUGUGAGUGUAUGAACACAAUGAUCAGUGGUGGAAUUGGCUGCGAUGCAAGGGGCACCAGCUAAAAUCUUGCCUAGGGCACCAAAUUGGUCAGGGCUGGCCCUGAUCCAUGCAUCUUAUCACGUGGCUUGUUGAGCGCGUUACCGCGUAGACCUAGCGCAUGUGGAGGCUUCACGCUAUUCUCCGCGGCAUCCACGCACAACACACCACGCACCCCACCGAGAGUGAAACCACAUUUUAGCGACCACAAGGAGGUUAACUCAAUGUGACUCUACCCACCCUAGCAGACGGGCCAAUUGGUUGCUUAGGAAGCCUGACUGAAUUCACUCAGCACGCCCUGGAUUUGAACUUGUGACUCCAGGUGUGGUAGUCAGUGUCUUUAUUGCCGAGACACCCAGGCCUCUCGCACUUGUGAAAAUGUUAAAUAAUUUAAGUGCUUUGUGAUGCGU